rnacentral:rRNA from 1 species
UACGGAGGGUGCGAGCGUUGUCCGGAGUCAUUGGGCGUAAAGGGCGCGUAGGUGGCGGGACAAGCGUGCGGUGAAAGCUCGGGGCUCAACCCCGAGUCGGCCGUGCGAACUGUUUUGCUUGAGCACUGUAGAGGCAGGCGGAAUUCCGGGUGUAGCGGUGGAAUGCGUAGAUAUUCGCAAGAACACCAGUGGCGAAGGCGGCUCACUGGCCCGAUACUGACGCUCAGACACGACAGCAUGGGGAGCGAACGGG